GAUCUGAGGAGAGGACAGGAUAUUUUUUUCCAGAAUCAAGCAGAGUGAUUAAAAUGAUUUAUUUGGUUGAUCUGUUUAAUCAGAAUCAUUGUAGAAUCUGAAUAUACUUGCAAGGUGAUAUUUUACACAUGAUGGUGUCUUAAAUCAAUGAAAUAUGGUACACCCUGUAUAUCAACCUGUGUCUGUGAAGAUAUGGCUAAAGUUAAUAUACAGCACCAAUAGGUAGAAUUUUCAUUUUUUCUAAAAAACAAAAAUCAAAACAAAAUAUGCACACCUUUAUAUGUUAGGGGCAGUCAGUUCUGUUUAUUUCAUUUUUAAGGAAGUAAACUAAUAUAACUCCCUGUUGCUAUAAAUACGUAUUUAUUUUGGUUAUUUGAAUAUGCCACGAAUAACUGGGGUUAUCGGUCUAGAAAUGUGAUAAUUUUGAUUUUGUCUGUUGGUAUUGGUACUUAAGAAACAUUAAAUACUACAUAAUAUUUUUCAAAUAGAGAAGUCUCUGGAGAUGUGAUAUUAAAAGAUGUAUCUGUGCCCUGACAAUUACUUCCCCUCCAAAAAAACCAAGAGAGCAUGACAUAAUCAAAUAAGUUUGGGAAAUAUGGAGUUAAACAAGAUUUAAGUAAUGUCCUUACUGCAUAUCUUCUUAGUACUUUUAAGAUGAUACUGUACACAGCAAAUCUGCAAAAUGGAGCCCACAGCAUUUGAGACUUCUGUGUCAGAACCCCUUCUUCAUGAACCAUUUACUGACAAUCUCAAAAGGACAUAAGUACUUUACAGAAUACAACUUUGAGAACUCCAAUAACUAUAAUAAUAGAUAACUUGAUCUAUUACCUGGAAAUGAGCUAUUAUGUUUAAUUGACUAUGUUGAUGCUUCUUGCUUUAACCACCAAGAGUUUUCAUUUCAUUUUGAA